ACUCCUACGGGAGGCAGCAGUGGGGAAUAUUGGACAAUGGACCAAAAGUCUGAUCCAGCAAUUCUGUGUGUUUGAUGAAGGCCUUCGGGUUGUAAAGAACUUUCAGUGGGGAAGAAGCAAGUGACGGUACCCACAGAAGAAGCGACGGCUAAAUACGUGCCAGCAGCCGCGGUAAUACGUAUGUCGCAAGCGUUAUCCGGAAUUAUUGGGCAUAAAGGGCGUCUAGGCGGUCUAAUAAGUCUGAUGUGAAAAUGCGGGGCUCAACUCCGUAUUGCGUUGGAAACUGUUAGACUAGAGUUUUGGAGAGGUAGGCGGAACUACAAGUGUAGAGGUGAAAUUCGUAGAGAUUUGUAGGAAUGCCGAUGACGAAGGUAGCUUACUGGACAAAUACUGACGCUGAAGCGCGAAAGCUAGGGGAGCAAACAGGAUUAGAUACCCUGGUAGCGACUGA
rnacentral:rRNA from 1 species